AGCGAACGCUGGCGGCAUGCCUAACACAUGCAAGUCGAACGAAGGCUUCGGCCUUAGUGGCGCACGGGUGCGUAACGCGUGGGAAUCUGCCCUUGGGUUCGGAAUAACAGUGGGAAACCGCUGCUAAUACCGGAUGAUGACGUAAGUCCAAAGAUUUAUCGCCCAAGGAUGAGCCCGCGUAGGAUUAGCUAGUUGGUGGGGUAAUGGCCCACCAAGGCGACGAUCCUUAGCUGGUCUGAGAGGAUGAUCAGCCACACUGGGACUGAGACACGGCCCAGACUCCUACGGGAGGCAGCAGUGGGGAAUAUUGGACAAUGGGCGAAAGCCUGAUCCAGCAAUGCCGCGUGAGUGAUGAAGGCCUUAGGGUUGUAAAGCUCUUUUACCCGGGAUGAUAAUGACAGUACCGGGAGAAUAAGCUCCGGCUAACUCCGUGCCAGCCGCCGCUGUAA
rnacentral:rRNA from 1 species